rnacentral:sRNA from 2 species
ACCACUGUCAAUCUAUCUAUCACUGUCAAUCUAUCUACCACUGCUAAUCUAUCACUGCUAAUCUAUCACUGUCAAUCUAUCUAUCACUGUCAAUCUAUCUACUACUGUCAAUCUAUCUACCACUGUCAAUCUAUCUACCACUGUUAAUCUAUCACUGCUAAUCUAUCACUGCUAAUCUAUUGCUGCUAAUCUAUCACUGCUAAUCUAUUGCUGCUAAUCUAUCUAUCACUACUAAUCUAUCACUGUCAAUCUAUCUACUGCUGUCAAUCUAUCUAUCACUGCCAAUCUAUAUAGAGUAAAUCAUGAUUCCAUUUGAUCCCAUUUUGUAAAAUGAAAUCAAAUGAAAUCAGAAUCAUUAAUUUAUUAGUAAAAUAUGAUCUGAGACUAGAUUUAUAAUAUAAACAGUGUAAAGUAACUAAUUUGCUAAACACUAUAUGGGAUCAGAACUAAGAUAUCUAAUAAUGAAAUUGAGAAAAAAUUUGAUCUCAGUCCCAUGC